UACAGAGGUCUCAAGCGUUGUUCGGAAUCACUGGGCGUAAAGCGUGCGUAGGCUGUUUCGUAAGUCGUGUGUGAAAGGCGCGGGCUCAACCCGCGGACGGCACAUGAUAUUGCGAGACUAGAGUAAUGGAGGGGGAACCGGAAUUCUCGGUGUAGCAGUGAAAUGCGUAGAUAUCGAGAGGAACACUCGUGGCGAAGGCGGGUUCCUGGACAUUAACUGACGCUGAGGCACGAAGGCCAGGGGAGCGAAAGGG
rnacentral:rRNA from 1 species